rnacentral:rRNA from 1 species
UCAUGGGCGCAGGGCCUGAACCAGCCAAGCUAGCGUGAAGGAUGACUGCCCUAUGNCAANGUAAACUUCGNAANAUAAAGGAAUAAAGUCGGGUAUGUAUACUCCUCUUUGCAUGUACUUNANGAAUAAGGAUCGGCUAACUCCGUGCCAGCAGCCGCGGUAAUACGGAGGAUCCGAGCGUUAUCCGGAUUUAUUGGGUUUAAAGGGAGCGUAGAUGGAUGUUUAAGUCAGUUGUGAAAGUUUGCGGCUCAACCGUAAAAUUGCAGUUGAUACUGGAUAUCUUGAGUGCAGUUGAGGCAGGCGGAAUUCGUGGUGUAGCGGUGAAAUGCUUAGAUAUCACGAAGAACUCCGAUUGCGAAGGCAGCCUGCUAAGCUGCAACUGACAUUGAGGCUCGAAAGUGUGGGUAUCAAACAGGAUUAGAUACCCUGGUAGUCUAAGGGCGAAUUC